rnacentral:tRNA from 1 species
AGCUCCGAAGUGACUUACAUCAAAUUGCAAGUUUGAAGAAGAGCCCUAAAAGGCU